rnacentral:lncRNA from 1 species
AAAUGAAUACGUUUCCCGUCAAACUCUUUCCUAAAGCAUAUAUGAUGAAGGAUUCUAGCUUUCUUCCGGCAACCCUCUAAAAGUACAUGUUACCACCGAGAAGGGGAAGAAGGCCUGUAGAAGUGAUAAAUCUACAUUACAUGUCGACCUUGUGUUCGCUUGCAUCAUUUCAUGUAAUCACCAUGUGUUCGCUUGCAUAGUCACGAGUUUGAAAUAUAUUGCACCGGUCUUAUGAGGUCCUUUUUACAACAGAUUUUUAAUGAUAUUUUUUUUCUAUAUGGCUAACCUAAUCUUAUGUGUCAUGUCAAAUGUUUUAUGAGUUAAGUCGAC